ACUUACAUGCAGAUUUUUUUUCAUUAAAUAUGUAGUCUUUUCUUCGUAUUUCCGGGUUGUGCAUCCAUGCAUUCAACCAACCUUGGAUCAAAACAGUACUUUCUACUGGAGGCUGGGAAUCCAUGAAUGUGGAGGGCCGACCGAAGUUAUAAGUGGAUUUUCGACUGCUCAUGGGGUCAGCUCUCCAACCCCCAUUAUAACAGAUGGUUUAGUUAUAUUUGUAGAGCUUCACCAUUGCUCAUUUUUGCUACCCUGAAAAAUUAUCUGUAAAAGGUGGCCUGGUUGAUAAAACUAUGCAACAUUUGAUCCUUGAUCUGCUUUCUUAUUUCCUGGAAGAUUACAGAGUAUUUGCAAGCUAACUUAUUUUUUCUGAUAGAAAUAGCAAAUAUAAUUUUACAUUCUGAUCUAUUAUAGACACUGUGCAUUUAAAUUUACAUUUAAGACCAAACAUCUUUCUUAUUAUCUCUAAUAUUACUUUGAAUAAUUAUUGCAACAAUUCUUGGUAGGAUUUUGUAUAGCAUAUAAAAGAAUUAUGUCAGUACAUUUUUCUAGUGAAUUUAUUUUCUGUACUUUAUAGUUGGCUAUUUGAAGCUUUCAAGAUCAGCCUGCAUUUAUGUAACUUUCAAAAAUGAUAAUUAUAAUUAUGGUCAAGUCAAAAUAAUAAAACAUCCUUUUUCUCAGAAAAAAAAAAAAAGUGAGGGACAGAUGAAGUUUGUGAAGCAUGAAAGCCUGAGUAAACCUCCUGCUCACUGUGCAUUUGCUACCAGACCCUGUGCCUGCGCACCCUCCUGCAGGAGUAGAUGUUUGCCUUGUUGUCUGGCUCCUGAAUAUCUUUUGUGUUCUGCCAGGAUCCCUGGUUUUGGGGGGCUUGCCUCAUUUCUAACACCCCCGCCUGUAUGACUUGUAACUGCAAUGGUUAUACCAUGCCUGCUUUCCCAUGCCUGUAAUUCCUACUUUCCCACAUAAUCUUUGUCCUUCUACCCAAUGUAAGCAGCUGGCUCAUGGGUAGAGGCAGAGCAGAGUUUUGUGGAUGACCUGCUGCACUCCAAUUCUACCAACAUUAUUGGAAUAAACGUUUAUAUGAUUCAA